UAGGGAAUCUUCGGCAAUGGACGAAAGUCUGACCGAGCAACGCCGCGUGAGUGAAGAAGGUUUUCGGAUCGUAAAACUCUGUUGGUAGAGAAGAACGUUGGUGAGAGUGGAAAGCUCAUCAAGUGACGGUAACUACCCAGAAAGGGACGGCUAACUACGUGCCAGCAGCCGCGGUAAUACGUAGGUCCCGAGCGUUGUCCGGAUUUAUUGGGCGUAAAGCGAGCGCAGGUGGUUUAUUAAGUCUGGUGUAAAAGGCAGUGGCUCAACCAUUGUAUGCAUUGGAAACUGGUAGACUUGAGUGCAGGAGAGGAGAGUGGAAUUCCAUGUGUAGCGGUGAAAUGCGUAGAUAUAUGGAGGAACACCGGUGGCGAAAGCGGCUCUCUGGCCUGUAACUGACACUGAGGCUCGAAAGCGUGGGGAGCAAACAGGAUUAGAUACCCUGGUAGUCCACGCCGUAACGA
rnacentral:rRNA from 1 species